rnacentral:lncRNA from 12 species
AUGAAAUUACAGCCACCAUCAAUGCCAGGUUUGGCCCUGAGGAGUGGAAAAAGGGUGACUUUCUGGGCUGGACCUCUGCAUCCAGCGGCGGCCUGUCACUGGCGGGGGGCAGUCACUUCGCCUCUCGGAGCCCAGGGAGCCCAUCUGGAAAAUCACCAUCCGUCCCUGAGUGAAGUUCACAGAAGAAAUGGGCUGCGCCCCGUGUGGCCCAGAGGGGGACCCAUGGGGCUGCUGGGCUGCCUGCCUGAAGUCAGCUGGGGGGUAGGGGGGUCCCGGCAGGGGGCACAUUCCCUGGGGUUUCUGAAGCUGCCAGGAGAGAACUUCCAGGGUGACACCAACCUGGCCUGGGAGUGGACGGACAGUGCACCCACAGCCCCAGUAAUGAAAUUAAAUGAAUCCCUGUCCCCAAGGCCGCAAGGCGGCCGCCCGCCGGGGUGGAGGGUGGAGGGUGGUCCCGGCCGGAGCUCGGAGGGCAGGAGCCGGCCCGCCGGCGCCCCCUCCCGGCCGCCUGCGCCUCCCCAGCCGCGUGGGGCCCCCGGCGUCCGCGGCUCGCUCGCCCACCCCGGCCUCUGCGGCUCUCUCCGGGGCGCCCAGCGGGGCCUCUCCCAGCGCGUCCUCCCCGCUCCCCUCCCCGCCCCCGCGCGCCCUGCCUCCAAACCCCGCGAAGCCACAUCUGUCCUUAACCCAAAAUCCUGCCAAUUAAACCGCUCCCUCCGGCUCCGGCGGCUGCUGCUGACGUCGGGAGGAGCGAGCGAGGCGAGGCCGCCGCCUACGCGGGGGGAGGGGGGGGAGGCGACGGCCCCCUCCCGGGGCCCCGCGGUCGUCCGUCUGUCCGCCCACCGCCAGGCGAGCGCGCGAGGCCCCAGAGCCGGGCGUCCAAAACUCACUCGCGCUCGGGGUCCCCCACCCGCUCCAAGACCCCCACCUGGGUCCCCUCCCCCUCGGGGUCCCCCACCCGCUCCAAGACCCCACCUGGGUCCCCUCCCCCUCGGGGUGCCCCACCCGCUCCAAGACCCCACCUGGGUCCCCUCCCCCUCGGGGUCCCCCGCCCGCUCCAAGACCCCCACCUGGGUCCCCUCCCCCUCGGGGUCCCCCGCCCGCUCCAAGACCCCACCUGGGUCCCCUCCCCCUCGGGGUCCCCCGCCCGCUCCAAGACCCCCACCUGGGUCCCCUCCCCCCUCCCGGUCCCCCACCCUCUCCAAGACCCCACCUGGGUCCCCUUCCCCUCGGGGUCCCCCGCCCGCUCCCAGACUCGGCAUCGCGCUCCAGGCCACAGCUCCGGGACCCCGGCCGCUCCCCGCGCCCGCACCCCGCGGUCACUCGCUCUCCCCGCGCCCUCCGCGCGCUGGGGCCUCGGUUUCCCCGCUCCGAGCCGCGCCGGCUCCGCUGCCGGGAGGGCGCCGCCGCCGUGGGAACCGGGAGGGGGCACAUUAA